rnacentral:lncRNA from 1 species
UUCAAUUGGAUUUCGGAUGAGAUCUAAUUGAGCUGGGCUGGGCUGGCCCGCUCCUAAAACUGUAGACACUUGCAUGAGUGAGAAGUUGGUGGUGAACUUUGGACUGAUUGCAUGGAUUCCAACGAAUUCCAAUGAGAUAAUUUGGCAGGAUAUUUUUCCCUCGCUUUUGUCUUUCCUUUUUCCGAUGAAUCAGAUCCUCUCUCCUUCUAAUUUCUUUUCUUUCCUGCUAUGCUCGCAGUUGGAGGUAGAAAAUGCUUUCGAUUUUUUGCAUUUGGAUUCUCUGAUUUAUUCAUUUCUUUUUGGUAUCUAUGCUCAUUCGUCAAUCCUGAGUGUGUUUAUACUUUCUUGUGCUUUUUCUUUUUGUUCCGAUUGCACUGCUUUCUAUUUCGGGGGAUUUGUUGAGUUUCUACUUGCUGAGGUUUCUGUUUCUUGUGUUGAGAGUUUGCUUGAGUUUUGCAAUGUUGAGGUUCAUUUUGGACUGUGCUUACUGUUUCAUUUGUUUAUUUGUUAACAUUUUUUUGGGGCAAAUUUUCUGUUUGUUUUUUUAAUUGUAGAAUUGCCAGUUGUUAAAUGACGUGCCUUCUGUUUUUUUAUUAUGAAAUUCAUUAUUCUAUGGAGAUGAUGAAAUUCAUUAUUCUAUUGACAAAUUUAAGCAUAUUGAUUGAAGAAUGUCUGAUGAGAGUUUGCUAUGUAAGAGGGUUUUGGCAAUUUGCAUGUCUUAGGUUGCUCUUGCUUGUAAGCAGUCUUUUGGAUAAGUUCGUGACCAUUUGAUUUGAGAUCUGGGGAAAAAUGCCAAUUCAUUAGUUCUUCCCAUGGAAACUGUGAAAUUGUAUGCAAUGUGUUGGUACUUUACUUUUGUGUGUUUACAUGCCUUGAAACUUGUCACUUACAUCUUAAUCUUUAAUUAGUCCAAGAUUAUACUCUUUUUUUUUUAAAGGAUUUGAGUACCUACGUCAUGGUAUUUAGUUACUUUGUCAAAUUUUGUGUAGCAAUGUAGAGUUGUUUGAUAGUAAAUAUAAUGCAUGUCUCCAUAAAACUAUAUUUUAGUCGUGGAGCCCUUGCAAAUAUUUCUUCAGGUGUGCUUGAGGUUAUACUUAAUGUUUGCAAAAAANNAAAAAGAAAAGAAAAGAAAAAAAAUUCUUAAGCAGUAGUUUGUAGAUAGCAAGGUAAUUCAGGAGAAGACAUUAUAGAACAUUGGCGUCAGUGCACACUAGUUUCCGUUGUCCUUGAAUAGUUUGGAUCUGGUUCUUAAGAUGGACAGGGGACAAGGGGUUAAUAAACUAUUUGCAUUUGUGAGAAGUCAGAGCUUUUGCUCAAUAUGAGAGAAGUAUGUAGAUGAUUUUGUGUAAUUAUAACUUUAUUCCUCUCAGAGGAUUUCUUUUUUCCUUUCUAAUAUAAAUAGUGCAAGGACCUAUCAAAAUCUCUUGUUUUCAACUAAAUGUAUAGCCUUUAGCUAACCAGAAUUGUGAAAUGGAGUUUUGUUGACAGUUUUUACUUAGCUUUGACCUGAAAACUCCUAUGUAAAGAAAAAUCGAAAGAAGGAAAGGAAAAUAGCUUGGACAUUGUGUCAGGAAACUAAGCUAAUGCAGGCGUUUGUGCAAAGUGCUCUAAAUUUGUUUCUGACACUCUUGAAUGUUGUUGUGGACAUUUUACUGUUAAAAUUUUCCAAGUUUGUACUUUUUGGAAUAUUUGAUAUAGGACAUUGAAUUUAGUUACUGUCUCAAAUUUCUUGCAGCAUGAUCAAGCUGCACGAGAAAGCUGCUUGAUUGAAAAUAUAACACAUCUUCUCUCUCUAUAGAACAAUAUUUUAGCUGUACGGCCAUUGCAGUCAUUCUUAAAUGAGCUUGAGGCUGUCUUAAUGCAUGGUGCUUCAUAAAAAGCUCUGGGAUUGCAGGGAUUCCCUGAUCAUGUUUACUUAACAUUCCUACAUGCUUUAGGUGUACGUUUAUUGCUGCAAGUCAUUUAUUUAUUUCGUUUCUCUUGCGAUACUAGAGGGGUAUCAUUGCAAUUUUUUUUUUCAAUUUUUUUUUUAUGCAUGGUUUGUUGUUGUAUGUGAUUUCUCUUGGAACUGCUAUUAAUUCUGUGCUUAGUGCCUAUCAAUGAUUCAAUAUUUGAUUUCUUUCCAUACACAAGAAGAAAAGUGACACUCAUAUCUCUUUGUUUAUCACAAAAAAGAGAGAGAGAAAAAAGAAUAUAUUUUUGUUUUCAUUUGUUUAUCACAAAAAAGAAAGAGGAAAAAAGAAUAUAUUUAUACAUCGAUAAUUAUAAGCACAUAAUGUUUUAUUUUAUUUUCCUUAGUAUGCAAUUUUACAUAGAUCUUGGGCUUCACUUGUGAAUAUGGAUGGAUAUAGACAGUAUAAACAAAGUCAGGAUUUAUUAUGUUGAUUGGUUUUAUCUAGAUCUACCGACUCUGACCAUCAUAUUCUUAUAUUCUUGGAGUAUUUUACCCAAGGAGGAUCAACAUUUGCCUCAAUCUUUUUGAUGCUUCAUUAUAGUGUAAUCUUCUGCAUUUUCAUACAGAAAAAAGAGAGGAAAAGUUUUUUUGUCAAUAUUGAAAUGUAUGGACUCAUGGUGCUGAAAAGGAUAAAGGUCUUCUUCUUACCUUUACUUUGUUGCUGUGGGUGGUGUCUCAAAGUUUGACUGCUCAGGCUGGCUUAGUUGUAGAUGGGUGGGGAGGUGGGAACUUCCAUAAUUGUUGAAACAAUGUGGAAAGGAGGAGUUUCCAGUUCCAGCUGUUACAUUCUCAUCUCUUGUGCCAUAAACCUGAAAGAAUGAGCCCAUGUUUGAAUUAGUUUUUAAGAAUUUAAUGGUAGUUGAUUAGUUUCUUAGGGAUGCAUGAAGUGUAUUAAGACAAUUAAACCACAUUACCUUCUUGUACAACUCUAUGUUUUCCUGACGUAUGAGGUUCAUCUUCUUACACAGUUCCACAUUUUCCUGAUGGAUAAGGUUUCCCUGUGAGAAAAACACUGGAAAAUUGGCAUUACAACUGAAAUGGUUCAUAACUAAAACUUCUGAUGAAAGGACACAGGAGUUCUCAAAGGACCUU